AUUGAACGCUGGCGGCAGGCUUAACACAUGCAAGUCGAGCGGGGUGAUGGUGCUUGCACUAUCACUUAGCGGCGGACGGGUGAGUAAUGCUUAGGAAUCUGCCUAUUAGUGGGGGACAACAUCUCGGAAGGGAUGCUAAUACCGCAUACGUCCUACGGGAGAAAGCAGGGGAUCACUUGUGACCUUGCGCUAAUAGAUGAGCCUAAGUCGGAUUAGCUAGUUGGUGGGGUAAAGGCCUACCAAGGCGACGAUCUGUAGCGGGUCUGAGAGGAUGAUCCGCCACACUGGGACUGAGACACGGCCCAGACUCCUACGGGAGGCAGCAGUGGGGAAUAUUGGACAAUGGGGGGAACCCUGAUCCAGCCAUGCCGCGUGUGUGAAGAAGGCCUUAUGGUUGUAAAGCACUUUAAGCGAGGAGGAGGCUCUUUUGGUUAAUACCCAAGAUGAGUGGACGUUACUCACAGAAUAAGCACCGGCUAACUCUGUGCCAGCAGCCGCGGUAA
rnacentral:rRNA from 1 species